GACGAACGCUGGCGGCGUGCCUAAUACAUGCAAGUAGAACGCAGUUGCGAACGGGUGAGUAACGCGUAUGUAACCCGCCUCAUAGCGGGGGAUAAACAUUGGAAACGAUAGCUAAUACCGCAUACUGUUAGAUGGACCUGCGUUGGAUGAGCUAGUUGGUGGGGUAAAGGCUCACCAAGGCGACGAUACAUAGCCGACCUGAGAGGGGGACCGGCCACACUGGGACUGAGACACGGCCCAGACUCCUACGGGAGGCAGCAGUGGGGAAUGUUGGACAAUGGACGAAAGUCUGACCGAGCAAUGCCGCGUGUGUGAAGAAGGUUUUCGGGUCGUAAAGUACUGUUGUUGGAGAAGCGGUAUCUAACCAGGAAGCAACGGCUAACUACGUGCCAGCAGCCGCGGUAAUUC
rnacentral:rRNA from 1 species